UAGGGACUCUGCUUACCCAGUCCUGGGUGU
rnacentral:piRNA from 1 species